AGAGUUUGAUCCUGGCUCAGAAUGAACGUUGGCGGCGUGGAUUAGGCAUGCAAGUCGAACGGGCCGGGUCGAAAGACCCGGUCAGUGGCGCAAGGGUGAGUAAGGCGACGGUAACCAACCUCAUGGUCGGGCAUAGCCGCGGGAAACUGCGGGUAAUUCCCAGCGACGUUGGUGGCGGGCCUCCGCCGCCAACCAAAGCU
rnacentral:rRNA from 1 species